rnacentral:rRNA from 1 species
UACAGAGGUCUCAACCGUUGUUCGGAUUCAUUGGGCGUAAAGGGUGCGUAGGCGGUCGCGUAAGUCGGAUGUGAAAUCUCGGGGCUCAACCCCGAAACUGCACUUGAUACUGCCUUGCUCGAGUACUGGAGAGGAGAGUUGGAAUUUACGGUGUAGCAGUGAAAUGCGUAGAUAUCGUAAGGAAGACCAGUGGCGGAAGGCGAAUCUCUGGACAGUUACUGACACUGAGGCACGAAGGCCAGGGGAGGCAAACACGGGAUU